UGCCCCCGUAGCUCAGCGGAUAGAGCAGUCGCCUUCUAAGCGAAAGGUCGUAGGUUCGAUCCCUACCGGGGGUAU
rnacentral:tRNA from 2 species